UAGUCCACGCCGUAAACGGUGUGCGCUUGGUGUGGGAGGAUUCGACCCCUUCUGUGCCGGAGCUAACGCGUUAAGCGCACCGCCUGGGAAGUACGGUCGCAAGAUUAAAACUCAAAGAAAUUGACGGGGACCCGCACAAGCGGUGGAGUAUGUGGCUUAAUUCGAUGCAACGCGAAGAACCUUACCUAGGCUUGACAUGCCGUCAUAGACUGUGAAAGCAGUUGUCAGUUCGGCUGGACGUGCACAGGUGCUGCAUGGCUGUCGUCAGCUCGUGUCGUGAGAUGUUCGGUUAAGUCCGGCAACGAGCGCAACCCCUGUGAAUAGUUGCUAACAUUUAGUUGAGGACUCUAUUCAGACUGCCCGGUUCAACCGGGAGGAAGGUGGGGACGACGUCAAGUCAGUAUGGCCCUUACGCCUAGGGCUGCACACGUACUACAAUGCCCAGUACAAUGAGAACCGAGACCGUGAGGUGGAGGAAAUCUAUAAAACUGGGCUCAGUUCGGAUUGG
rnacentral:rRNA from 1 species